rnacentral:rRNA from 1 species
AGAGUUUGAUCCUGGCUCAGGAUAAACGCUAGCGGCAGGCCUAACACAUGCAAGUCGAGGGGCAGCGGGUGGAGUAUUUCGGUACUCCUGCCGGCGACCGGCGCACGGGUGCGUAACGCGUAUGCAACCUACCUUUAACAGGGGGAUAAUCCGAAGAAAUUUGGUCUAAUACCCCAUAAUAUCAUUUAAGGCAUCUUAGAUGGUUGAAAAUUCCGAUGGUUAGAGAUGGGCGUGCGUUGUAUUAGCUAGUUGGUGAGGUAACGGCUCACCAAGGCUACGAUACAUAGGGGGACUGAGAGGUUUUCCCCCCACACUGGUACUGAGACACGGACCAGACUCCUACGGGAGGCAUCA